GCAGGUUGAAGCGCGGGUAAGACCGCGUGGAGGACCGAACCCACCUGGGUUGAAAACCGGGGGGAUGACCUGGGGCUAGGGGUGAAAGGCCAAUCAAAUUCCGUGAUAGCUGGUUCUCUCCGAAAUGCAUUUAGGUGCAGCGUCGGUCGAUUGCGUCGCGGGGGUAGAGCUACCGGAUGCUUGCGGGCCCUUGUUGGGUACCAACAGCAGCCGAACUCCGAAUACCGUUGACGUGUAUUCCGGCAGUGAGUCGGCGGGGGAUAAGCUCCGUCGUCGAGAGGGAGACAGCCCAGACCGUCGUCUAAGGUCCCGAAGCGUGUGCUAAGUGGGAAAGGAUGUGGAGUCGCAUAGACAGCCAGGAGGUUGGCUCAGAAGCAGCCAUCCUUGAAAGAGUGCGUAACAGCUCACUGGUCUAGUGGUUCCGCGCCGACAAUGUAGCGGGGCUCAAGCACACCACCGAAGACGCGGCAGCAAUCUUCAUGGUUGCUGGGUAGGAGAGCGUCCUGCGAGGGGCGAAGCGGCGGUGGAAACCGGCCGUGGACUUCGUGGGAGUGAGAAUGCAGACAUGAGUAGCGAGAGACGGGUGAGGAUCCCGUCCGCUGGAUGACCAAGGGUUCCGGGGCCACGUUCGUCGUCCCCGGGUGAGUCGGGUCCUAAGGCGAGGCCGACAGGCGUAGUCGAAUGGAUGAACGGGUGGAUAUUCCCGUACCGACCAUGGACCGGCAAAACCGAGACGGUGAGUACUAACCUCCGCCUCGUGGUGGUUCCUUCCUUCGGGUUGGUCCCGCCGCGUGGUGUUGGGAGCGUAGCCGCAGUAGGUCAGCGCAGGGGUGACACGGAAUGGGAGCCGGCCGCGGAGGUGGUUUUCCGUGGUCAAGCACGCAGCCAGUCAUGUAGGCAAAUCCGCAUGGCGCGCAUGGCGAGGUGUGAUGAUGGGAGCCUUUUGGGCUCGAUAUCCGGUUGUCCAGGCCGUCGAGAAAAGCCUCGGCGUGAGGGCCAUGGCCGCCCGUACCCCAAACCGACACUGGUGGUCAGGUAGAGAAUACCAAGGCGAUCGAGCGAAUCCUGGUCAAGGAACUCGGCAAAUCACUCCCGUGCCUUCGGUAUAAGGGAGACCCACUGGGGUGAAGGACCUUGCGUCCGGAGCUUUGGUGGGUGGCACAGACCAGGGGGUAGCGACUGUUUACCAAAAACACAGGUGCAUGCGAAGGCGAAAGCCGCUGUAUAUGCACUGACGCCUGCCCGGUGCCGGAAGGUUAAGAGGAUCCGUCAAUCCCUUCGGGGACGAAGCGGUGAAUUCAAGCCCCGGUAAACGGCGGUGGUAACUAUAACCAUCCUAAGGUAGCGAAAUUCCUUGUCGGGUAAGUUCCGACCUGCACGAAUGGCGUAA
rnacentral:rRNA from 1 species